UACGAAGGGGGCUAGCGUUGCUCGGAAUCACUGGGCGUAAAGGGUGCGUAGGCGGGUCUUUAAGUCAGGGGUGAAAUCCUGGAGCUCAACUCCAGAACUGCCUUUGAUACUGAGGAUCUUGAGUCCGGGAGAGGUGAGUGGAACUGCGAGUGUAGAGGUGAAAUUCGUAGAUAUUCGCAAGAACACCAGUGGCGAAGGCGGCUCACUGGCCCGAUACUGACGCUGAGGCACGAAAGCGGGGGGAGCAAACAGG
rnacentral:rRNA from 1 species